rnacentral:lncRNA from 1 species
AAAUAGUGACCACCUGCCAAAGAGACUACCAUCGAAUGGUCAGCAAGUCCUCCCGAACCUCCUAACACCACUGAGCAGCAACAGAGAUAAAAUUUGUUUGAGAGAAAAGAGGAACUUUUAUUGAUGAUGAUGUAAAUAUUUACAGACUUCCGAUGUACUGACAUUGAAUCUACUGAAAGUACUUUCUAAGCCUGCCAGCGUGCCAAGUGUUUUUGAUUACUAAGC